AUGAACGCUAGCGGCAGGCCUAAUACAUGCAAGUCGAGCGGCAAGUCGAGGAGUAAUCUAAGACCUAGAGCGGCGCACGGGUGCGUAACGCGUAUGCAACCUACCUUAUACGUGGGGGAUAGCCCGGAGAAAUCUGGAUUAACUACCCCAUGGCACAUAUUGAUGGCAUCUGAGAUAUGUUAAAGAUUUAUUGGUAUAAGAUGGGCAUGCGUCUGAUUAGCUAGUUGGCGGUGUAACGGACCACCAAGGCGACGAUCAGUAGGGGUUCUGAGAGGAAGGUCCCCCACACUGGCACUGAGAUACGGGCCAGACUCCUACGGGAGGCAGCAGUAGGGAAUAUUGGGCAAUGGUCGGAAGACUGACCCAGCCAUGCCGCGUGCAGGAAGACGGCCCUCUGGGUUGUAAACUGUCUUUUAUCUGGGAAGAAAAAGGCCAUGCGUGGCAAAUUGCCGGUACCAGAUGAAUAAGCACCGGCUAACUCCGUG
rnacentral:rRNA from 1 species